CUCAAUGAAAAUUAAAUAGCCGCAAUAUUUUGUGCUAAGGUAGCAUAAUCAUUUGUUUUUUAAUUAAAAACUAGAAUGAAAGAUUUAACAAUUUUAUUUCUCUCUUAUAUAUAAAAAUUUAAUUUAUUUUAAUUAUAAAAAAAUAAUUAUAUACAAAAAAGACGACAAGACCCUAUUGAACUUAACUAAAGUUUAACUGGGGUAGUUAAUUAAAUAUAAUUUUAAUUUAAAUCUUAAAACUAUCCUAAUUCAAUUAAAACAAUCAAGUUACCAUAGGGAUAACAGUGUAAUAAUUUUCUCAAGGCCUUAUUAAAAAAAAUGUUUACGACCUCGAUGUUGAAUUAAUAAUCUAUUAAAUGCAACAAUUUAAAAACGAAAGUC
rnacentral:rRNA from 1 species